rnacentral:misc_RNA from 1 species
AACAUCUGCAACUGCAAAAACAUGCGGACUUAGCUCCCCAAAUGCUGCUCCUUUGUACUGUUCCAUCAUGUGAGUGUCGUACAGAUGAGGCAAUCUUUGGAAAGGGUUUACUGCAAUCAAUAUGUUCCCAGUGUACGUAUAAAUUUCAUUGAGCUCAUAUCGGGUGGCCAAGUUCUGCAGAACUCCAGGUUCAUGCAAAUAGGAAAGUUUGGUCAUAUCAUCUACACCUCCAGGAGGAGCCUCAGUAUCUUUAGGAAACACUUUAGCGAUUUUAGCAACAACUUCUUUUCCAUCGGAGGUUUUAACAUGAACAUCUUGACCAUGUAUUUUGAUUACUUCUCCAUCUUUCCAUGCCAAUUUAGGGUCUUCCACCCAAACAUGAGAACCAACAAUAAUGUUAACUGAUGCCAUUGACGAGUUUUUUACUAUUGAUCUCCUGCUCUCCAACUCAUCAAGGCAAAGAGAAACAAAUUUUGAGUCGGCGAGUCAGAUCGGACUCCACAAGCUUCAAAUAUUUCAGUCGAAGUUAACCACAACGACGAUGAUGAUGAAGCAAAGCUUGCCUCCGAUGAUUCAACUUCUGGCAAAGCGAAAACCGUUUAUGUUUGUUUCUCUCUAUAUAUAUCUGCGUAUAUAAAUAUGUAUAUGCCUCCGUAUAUCUGUA